rnacentral:tmRNA from 1 species
GGGGGCGUAAGGAUUCGACGGGGGUUGUGGAAGCAGGAAUAGCAGGCCCGGGACCAUGGCCCGGUAAAAACAUGGAACGGCAAUAAACGCCAACGACAAUCUCGCUUACGCUGCUUAAUUAAAGCAGCGCGUCCCCUUUCUCCUUGACCGGGGGAGAAAGCAGGGGCGACGACCAACCGGCCUACCGCUGCAGGCGGCCGCUCCACCGCAGCAGCGGGAAAUGCAACGGAGACGGCAGCGGCGGAUCCCGCUCCGGGGAGACGGCGCUGCGAGAUGAAAACCGGAGCUAAGCCUGUAGAGGUUCCUGUGGCCCGGCCUUCGGACGCGGGUUCGAUUCCCGCCGCCUCCACCA